GUAUCGUGUGCUUGGGGGGACCCAGCGAGGAUGAGCUGGUCGGAGACACGUGACGGCGACGACCAAGGCACAGCAUGGUGAAUAUGCAGAUACACCAUACUGGCAGUGGCUUCGAUGUACUUUGGUUUCGUCACCCACGAACAUGAUGGUAGACUUUUCUCCGUAGGUCGAGAAGUAAAAUCCAGUCGUUUCUUCGAGCAGGAGCUUGCUUCGCGAGAGCAAUGGCACAACUUGGUCAACUAAUGGCGGCCGCUUUCCCCAACGCACAGAUGUACGUGAGAGACAAACAGAAUCUCAUUUUCCUGUUCAGGUUUCAAUACCAUGCCAG
rnacentral:lncRNA from 1 species